ACAUCGCUGAGUUAGAACAGUAAAGAUGAGUUUAUAAUGCAAAGCAGAACAUAGGAACUCGUCCUUCGGGACAUCCGAUAAAAUUGGAACGAUACAGAGAAGAUUAGCAUGGCCCCUGCGCAAGGAUGACACGCAUAAAUCGAGAAAUGGGUUCAAGUGCUUUCUCAGUUUUAGGAUGACACCGCCUUGCCGCUUCAGACUAAAACUUGCAGAAACCUGCAACAAGCUUUGCUCCGUUGGCACUGCCAUAUGUAACGACGCUGCCUACGCCCCAAGUCCCUUUGUAUUCUAAACACCUACAAACAACUGCUGCUCCUUACCCAACCCCAGCACCUGCAGCUCUUUACACAUCUUCCGCCCACCUAGCUCCGUCUCUCUAGUCCUCGCACCUAUCUAAUUCAGUAGGGUAUCCACUAUCUCCAUCCUCUGCUUCACCUCCAGCUGCCUAUCCUCCCCAGACCUUACCCACCAGCAUCAGCUUAUCCUCCACCUCUAUAUUUGCCACCGCCACAAACCUCACCCUAUUAUCCUCCAGUCAGGUCCUCAUUCGGGAAUGUAUUCUCCACCGCCAUACUGAAAGGGUAUUGAAAGCUUGUGAUUACGGAAAUGAAAGACGUAGACAUCUAAAGUUGAAUCCUAGGUGUGGUUGUGUAUCCAGUUGGAGGUCAUUACCAAAAAAAAAAAAAAAAAAGUGAUUUCUUUCUGCAGUGAAUUGAAAAUUAGGCAAGGGGUAUAAAAUGAGAGUUUCAUUUGCUACUUGUCAAUUAGAAGGUUUCUUAACAGGCUUUGAUGGUUUUCCUAUUAAUCUAGAUAGAUAUUUUUUUCUUCCAAAAAGUCUUUUAUUUUCUCUCUUUCUCUGCCUAACCUCUUUUUACCUUUUUCCGUUGAGGCACAUGAUGUCUUGUGCUAAUGUUUGGGUUAGAAUAUAUGAUGACAAUUGCAGAUUGUAGUUAUUUAGAGGUAGCUAUAUGUAUUAUCUUAUAGCCUACAAUCUCUCACCUUUAGAGACAAGAUGAUCUUGUUAAAGGAUAGAAUGUCAUGUUGCUGGAGCUCAACUUGUUUGAAUCUCUUCAGUCCAAUACCACUUCCAUUCUCAUUCUUCCCAUUUGCUCUGAAGUUGUCCUGUUAGACCCCUUUGGUUCCUGGGUCUGCGCCAAGUUGUUUCAGUGUUCAGAAACAACAUUCUAUCUCAGUUGAAUCACAAAAGGCUAAAGUUUUAGUACAAAGGAACAGUUUCUCAAGCUUUUGAUGCUUAUGGUUCUUCAAGGCCAUGCACAUUUUGCCAAUGCGUGAUACUUCUUUGUCGGCUACAAUCCUUCUAUUAUACAAUGUCAGCUGUUUGUUACCCGGCCUGGCCCUGAAAAACUUAACUUAUUAGCACUAGAUGGUCUUGUAGGUUUUGAUUUUUGAAGGUCUUCUAAAAUGACCAAAUACAAGUUAUCAUAGAAGUAGAAGCUGGCUGCACAGGAAGCUUAGGCUGAGGCUGCCAGUAGGGUCUAGUUGUCACGCAUAAUGUUUCUAUCAGUACUUGUUCAUCUUCAAUAAUGAUCUUACAUCGCAUAUUGGAAGUGCAGCUCGUGACGGGUCCCAGAGGUUCUUCAUGUUUGGUGAAUGAAUGUAUAACUACAAUAAAAAAGAUGAGACAAAACUUUCUGUGGCUGCUGUAUAAUUAUCAAACAGGUGUGCUAGAAAGAUGACAUUUUGUGGAGUGUUUCAAUGAGAUUGUAAUAUAGUAUUCAAGCAUUAUUCAACUAAAAAGCUUUUGAGUA